AUCAAAUAUUGUGUCAUAUAUGGCAUGAAAAAAAUGUCAAAAUAAAUAGGAAAUUUUCUUUUAUUAUUUUGAUCAAUAAUUGUCAAAUAUCGUGUCAGACAUUGCCAAUCCUAAAUUUGAAAGUUGAAGUUUGAUGUUACCUCCGGACUCUUGAGCAGCGCUUAUUCUAAUAUCCAUAUAUUAUGUUUCAUUUGUGGGUGUUAAUAUUCAUGUGUGCAUAUUCAUAUAUUCGUAUUUUGUAUAAUAAAUUGUAUCAAUUAAAGCGUACUCUAGAGCGGUUGAUCGCGAUAUACCAAUGGCUCUUACUCAUUCAACAAAGGACGAAUGCAAGCAAUAAGAAAAUCAAUUCAUCGGCUUUCGAGUACAGCAAGUGAGUUAAUUAAUUGAGCAUAUUAAAUAUAUUUCAUUUGGAUUAAUUGGUACUAUUUUCUAUGAUACCAAGCAGACGAAACUCUGAUAUUUAAAUACGAAUAAAUUAAUAUAUUUCAGAUACCUGAUGCACUUAUUGUUGCUGUUUAACUUACAGUUUCAAUUGCUUGAGUUUUGCCAAAAAUGUAUCCAAAUAUGCCAUAAAUAUUUGAG
rnacentral:lncRNA from 1 species